rnacentral:rRNA from 1 species
UACGUAGGGCGCAAGCGUUAUCCGGAAUUAUUGGGCGUAAAGAGCUCGUAGGCGGUUUGUCGCGUCUGCCGUGAAAAGUCCGGGGCUCAACUCCGGAUCUGCGGUGGGUACGGGCAGACUAGAGUGAUGUAGGGGAGACUGGAAUUCCUGGUGUAGCGGUGAAAUGCGCAGAUAUCAGGAGGAACACCGAUGGCGAAGGCAGGUCUCUGGGCAUUAACUGACGCUGAGGAGCGAAAGCAUGGGAGGGAACAGG